rnacentral:rRNA from 1 species
AGUGAACGCUGGCGGUAGGCCUAACACAUGCAAGUCGAACGGCAGCACAGUAAGAGCUUGCUCUUACGGGUGGCGAGUGGCGGACGGGUGAGGAAUACAUCGGAAUCUACUUUUUCGUGGGGGAUAACGUAGGGAAACUUACGCUAAUACCGCAUACGACCUACGGGUGAAAGCAGGGGAUCUUCGGACCUUGCGCGAUUGAAUGAGCCGAUGUCGGAUUAGCUAGUUGGCGGGGUAAAGGCCCACCAAGGCGACGAUCCGUAGCUGGUCUGAGAGGAUGAUCAGCCACACUGGAACUGAGACACGGUCCAGACUCCUACGGGAGGCAGCAGUGGGGAAUAUGAGACAAUGGGCGCAAGCCUGAUCCAGCCAUACCGAGUGGGUGAAGAAGGCCUUCGGGUUGUAAAGCCCUUUUGUUGGGAAAGAAAAGCAGCAGGUUAAUACCCCGCUGUUCUGACGGUAACCAAAGAAUAAGCACCGGCUAACUUCGUG